rnacentral:rRNA from 1 species
CAGCCGCCGCGGGAAUACGGAGGGAGCUAGCGUUAUUCGGAAUUACUGGGCGCAAAGCGCACGUAGGCGGCUUUGUAAGUAAGAGGUGAAAGCCCGGAGCUCAACUCCGGAACUGCCUUUUAGACUGCAUCGCUUGAAUCCAGGAGAGGUGAGUGGAAUUCCGAGUGUAGAGGUGAAAUUCGUAGAUAUUCGGAAGAACACCAGUGGCGAAGGCGGCUCACUGGACUGGUAUUGACGCUGAGGUGCGAAAGCGUGGGGAGCAAACAGGAUUAGAUACCCGUGUAGUCCCUGUCUCUUAUAC